AGCAGGGUGCUUUGCGCCUCAGAACAGCAAGCCUCCUUAGCCGGCGCCUCCGUAGGCAGGCGGACAGACCAGGUUCGUGUCUCUUGGGAGGGAUCCCCUGCUCUCGGCCCCACCAGCUUCAGGGAGGAUGGCCAGGUGUCCAGCGUUCACAGCGUUUCUGCUUUGGCAUCUGCGUCUGGAAGCCACGGCUCAGGGAGCCUCCGGUGCAGAGAGACUGUGCCAGUGCGGGUUCUCCAGCUCAGAAGGACCCGGUUCGGCGCUUCAUCGGGACGCAGGUUUGAAAACCAACAUCAGCUCUUGCAUAGAGCGACUUGCAAGCUCCUCAUCACUGGACUCCAUCAUGGUUCUGUACAAAUAUGAAUCUUAACAAGAUUCUGGAAGCGUUUGUGACUGUUUCCUUGCUGUCUGGUCUUGCCAGGUGUAUUUUUUUUUUUUAAUUGCACGAGAGGAGGAACUGGUUAUCUAUGGCUCUGCUUCUUCCCACAAGACGUUAUCUCCCCUGCUGCGGCUUUUUAGUGAGCGUUGCACAGGUGAUGGUGGGAUGAGACUGAACAGAUAAACAUCUUUUAGAGGCAGGUGCAUAUGGAGGGUCCCAGGCCGGGGCUCUCAUGGGAGCUGCAUCUGAGACUUACGCCACAGCCACAGCAACGCCCGAUCCUGAACCCACUGAGUGAGGCCAGGGAUUGAAUGUGCAUCCUCAUAGACCUUAUAUCUCGUUCUUAACGUGCUGCGCCACGAUGGGAACUCCCACACCUAAUUUUUGAUGCAUCCUACAUCCAGCCAGAGGGGCAUGUCAUGAUGUUCAGUCCUUGUCAUACAAAUCAAGUCACUGGAUCCUUUUUUGUGUCUUAAUUCACCCUCUUUUGAUCUGAUGUUUAGGAAUUCUCUUUGAGACCUUGCUCAAGCUGAUCACCAACCACUGCCACAUUUCGAAUGCGUUUGGCACAUCCAACCGUGCCAUGCAUGGAAUAUUUUGAGUGCCGGCUCUAAUUCUUUAGUGUGUUUAAUAUGCAUCCUCCAAUGUCAGUCCCUUCCUGUUAAACAUUACCAACUAUAUUGUGGUCAUAGCUCUUAUGUUAAAAAAAGUGAGCAUUUGUGGAGGAACUCUUUUUACUGUGUUUCCACGGCAGUGAGCAAAGCAACCACGGGGCCCCAGAUUAAUUGUUUUUAGAGCCACACCCACGGCAUAUGGACGUUCCCAGGCUAGGGGUUGAAUUGGAGCUAUAUCAUGUUGUAACCCAAGAGAGUGGACUCAGGUCCUGCAUUGCUGUGGUUCUUGGGUUAUAACAUCAUGGAAGAAAGUAUGAAAAAAAUAAGAAUGUAUAUAUGUAUGUGUGUGUGUGUGUGAGAAGACAGACUGGGGCACUCUGCUGU